AAGGAGGGCACUUGUUGGUAUGAGCAUUGGUUGUAUGUAAGUGAUGCAUCACUAAAUUCUACUCCAGAAGCUGAUAUUACACUAUAUGUUAACUAACUUGAAUUUAAAUUAAAAAAAAAAAAGAGAAAAGUGCAUGUAUGUUUAAAAUCUCUUAGAACUAUACAUGGGAAGAAGCAAAUUUCACAAUUUUUUAAUUUAAAAACUUUGUUAUUUUUUAACGAUUGAUUUUUUUUUCAACGUUUAUUUAUUUUUGGGACAGAGAGAGACAGAGCAUGAACGGGGGAGGGGCAGAGAGAGAGGGAGACACAGAAUCAGAAACAGGCUCCAGGCUCUGAGCCAUCAGCCCAGAGCCUGAUGCGGGGCUCGAACUCACGGACCGCGAGAUCGUGACCUGGCUGAAGUCGGACGCUUAACCGACUGCGCCACCCAGGCGCCCCUUUUAACGAUUGAUUUUAAUUUUGCAGUUAAAAUUUUAAAAAGAAAACUGCCUUGCUGAGUUGUGAUUGGCAUUCAGUAAAAUAUAAUUCAUCUGAUUCGUAAGAGAUGCUCGACAAACAUCAGCUGCUAGUCCUGUUUUCCUGGGGAGUAGAGAGUAGGGGUUCAGAGCAUAGGCUCUUAAGUUAACUGGCCUACAUUCAGAUCUUGCUGUGUCAUCUACUGGCUUGUGCCCUGUCUGUGCCUAGUGUUCUCUGUAAAAUGGAGUCAUGAUUGUAUCUAUCCUAUAGGGUUGUUAAACAGGUUAAAUCACUUACUGUAGGCAAAUACUUAAUGAAUGUACACUCUUAUUAUUAACAUGGUUUCUCUCUAUUGAUUUCAUAGGAGACCAGCUGGGAAGUAGUAUGGGUCUCUGAACUUGGCAUGCAUUGCCACCACAAAAGGUCUCUGCUGGUGUUUGCCUGUGAUGACAAAGAUGGGAAUGAAAGGUUUCUGAAAUUCUCUACCUAGGAGGAGUUAGAGGAAGACUUUCUGGCUAAGUAGAAGAAGCACACCCACUAAGAGAGAACCCAGUGCAGUGACCAGCACAGCUUGUGGAACCUGACACCCUUGACUCCUGGGAAC
rnacentral:lncRNA from 1 species